UCAGAACUGAAUUUCAUAAGCACUUCGGCCGUCAACAGUACGACAUCGCCAUCAUUUAGAAAAUUAUUCAACAACUUCCAUAAGAAGAGAUUAUAAAAUCCUCUCAACAUAAAUGUAAAAGUAACGUAAAAUAUCUAACCAGUGUUACAUUACAGAGCAAGACACUUAUUUUAUAAUAAUAAUAAUAAUAACAUAAGCUAAGACUCUCCGAAGCUACUCCUCAUGAGCCACAUCUCUACCUCCUGUACCUGAGCGAUGUCGCAUAGAACAUCAUUCCAACAGAAGGGUAAGAACUUACAUUGUAUAAAAUAUAACAUAACAAAGAGCAAGUAAACAAUUCAGAUCCUGCUUUAUAAACUCUUCACCUUUACUUUAAAAUCUGAGUGAUUAUAAUAUUUUCUCUCAAGACAGUUUCACAAUUCUAAUUAAUGUUUCGAAAAAUUAUAAGCUUAAAGAAGAAUAAUAAUUCGACUUUACCACAACAGCAAAACAAUUCACCAACAAAUCACCAAACACAUAAAACCACUGAAAACGUGAAACUUAGUGUGUGAGACUCUAAUGUAUGCAUGUGGUACCAAUUGUUAACCUUAGCGGUAUCACCGCGUCCACUCCAGACAGUUAACCACCAAUGAAGUCCACUCCAGACUUCCAGAACCACGCCAGUUCUGGGACAAACCUCAGUUUUCCGAUGAAAACCGACACGUUGCCUCUUGACUAAAUGAAGUGUAUUUCGUGCAAAAACUCAUAAAUUAAAACAUGCAAUUUUGAGACCACUCCAGCCCCAAAUAUAUAACAUAUUUUCUCACCAAAUUCCAUAACGGAAAUCACACCAAAAUUGCACAAAAUAACACUUCAAUACAAUUAUCAAAUCAUUCACUAUUCCACUGACAAAAUAGCAACACAAAAUCAUCAAAUGUCUCAUAUCAAUUACUAGAAUCAGUUUCAGAAUCAAUCUCAGAAAUAAGCAGAAACAUAGCAUACUUGCAUAUAAUCCUGGUACUAAAUGAGCAGUCCAAAAAUUAUGAAAAUUUUACCAAACAUAGCCUUAUACGUUAGCUUUCAUAUAAAAUUGGUUUCACCCAAUUUGGAAUUCUGUAGAGAGAGUUAUGGUCUCUACAGCACAGGCUGUUAGGGUUUCUGCGAGCAGAAACAGAGUGAACUUGCAGAUAAUUCUGGUAUUGAACCAGCAAUCUAAAAAUUAUGAUAAUAUUACCCAAUAUAGCCCUAUGAGUUAGCUUUCAUAAAAAAUUGGUUUCACUCAAUUCGGAAUUCUGUAGAGAGAGUUAUGCUCUCUAUAACACAGGCUGCUAGGGUGUCUGCGGGCAGAAACAGAAUAAACUUGCAAAUGAUUCUGGUAUUGAACCAGCAAUCGAAAAAUUAUGAAAAUAUUACCCAACAUAGCCCUAUGAGUUAUCUUUCAUACAAAAUUGGUUUCACUCAAUUUGGAAUUCUGUAGAGAGAGUUAUGCUCUCUACAACACAGACUGUUAGGGUAUCUGCGGGCAAAACAUAACAGAACCCAAUUUUCCCCGGAACCUCAAUUUCGCUCAAAAUCAAUUUUUCUCACCACAUGUUAACACUCAACACAGUCUCUCAGUUCUGAAUUUUCAAAAAAGAUGAGGGUUCCUUCAUGUUAAACUCAACCUCUGUUAUUCUACAAUUAUACAAGAUAAAUUCAAACCCUUACCUCUUGAAGAUCAAAUUCUAGGUUUUUUCUUCUCUUUUCUCCCCUUCUCUCUUUCACGCUUCUUUUCUUCUCCUCUGCUAACUUCUCCAAUUCUCAAAUUCUGAUUUCUCUCUUUCUAAUUCACUCAUAUCCCUUAAAUAGUCAUACUAAUGGGCCCCACUCUCAAUUACUCACACAAAAACCUAACAAACUUAUUUAUCUAAAUCUUAUUCUAUAUCACAUGAGAUUUAAAUUAUAAUCACAUAAUUCAUCAAAUUACCAUAUAGCAUAAUAAUAAUUAAGAUAAAAUAAUAAAUAACCUAAUAACGAAAAGUGGGGUGUU
rnacentral:lncRNA from 1 species